GGGAGGAGCCAUGGCUGAGUGGUAAAGCAUCUGCUUUGCAUGCAGAAGGUCUCAUUUUCAGUCCAUGGAACCUCUUG
rnacentral:tRNA from 1 species